AGCUAACGUUGGCGGCGUGCCUAACACAUGCAAGUCGAACGCGCCGGAGCAAUCCGGUGAGUGGCGAACGGGUGAGUAACACGUGGGUCAUCUCCCCUCGAGUGAGGAAUAAGCCCCCGAAAGGGGGUCUAAUACUGCAUAACGCCCGGGAACAUAAGUUUCCGUGCCAAAGCCGCAAGGCGCUUGAGGAUGAGCCUGCGUCCUAUUAGCUAGUUGGUAGGGUAAUGGCCUACCAAGGCGAAGAUGGGUAGCCGGCCUGAGAGGGUGAACGGCCACACUGGGACUGAGACACGGCCCAGACUCCUACGGGAGGCAG
rnacentral:rRNA from 1 species